GGCAGAGCGAAUCUCAAAAAGACCGUCCCAGUUCGGAUUGCAGGCUGCAACCCGCCUGCAUGAAGUUGGAAUCGCUAGUAAUCGCGGAUCAGCAUGCCGCGGUGAAUACGUUCCCGGGCCUUGUACACACCGCCCGUCACACCAUGAGAGUCGGGAACACCCGAAGUCCGUAGCCUAACCGCAAGGGGGGCGCGGCCGAAGGUGGGUUCGAUAAUUGGGGUGAAGUCGUAACAAGGUACC
rnacentral:rRNA from 1 species